AUGGAUCGAAUCCCCACCCCCCAAAACCCUAACCAACACCCAGCGGAGCGAGCCACAUCGCCAUGGACUCCGACGAGGAGUGGGUCGUCCUCGACUCCGACAACCCCGCCGACUCCUCGGACGACGACCGCGGCGUCCUCGCGCUCCCCGCCUCCACCUCCCCCCUCGCCCUCUCCUCCUCCUCCGACGAGGACGACGACGACGACGAGGACGAGGAGGACGAGGACGACGACGACGACGGCCUGCAGUCGGCGGCGGGCUCGGAGGAGGAGGAGGACCCGUUCGAGGUGGACGAGGACGAGGACGCGUCGCCGGAGCAGCGGCUCACGCGGCCGCUCUCGGGCAUGUUCCACCACACGCCCUUCGACUCGGUCGCCUACGCGGCCUUCGACCCCGUGCGCAGCGCCAAGCAGCUCAUCCCGGACCCGGCCUUCUCCGCCUUCCCGGAGCGGGUCUCGGUGCUCGCCUCGUCGCGCGGCCUCGUCUGCCUCCGCGGCUGCGCCACCGGCUUCUACUACGUCGCCAACCCGCUCACCUUCCGCCGCGUGCGCCUCCCGUACCAGAACCGCGACCACCGGCUCGACGCCGACCCGGCCGUCGUCAUCACCUUCGAGGACGACGAGGACGCCGCGGGCGCCGUCGGCCUCGGCGCCGGCUUCCGCCACUACCACGUCGUCGUCACCUACCAGGUCCACGACGGCGUCUGGGCCGUCGAGUCCUUCUCCACCCGCACCUGGGACUGGCGCGUCGGGGACGACAUCUGCGCGCCCGAGACGGUCGUCGCCCAGUCCGGGGUCGGCGCGCGCGGCCGAGCCUUCUUCCGCACCACCAUCGGCCACAUCCUCUGCUACACCCCGGAGACGGGCUGCGUCGACCUCAUCCCCGCGCCCCAGGAGGUCGAGGGCCGCAAGGACUGGGAGAUCGGCGAGAUGGAGGGCAACUUCUGCGUCGCCUGCGUCGACCAGGCCGCCAAGGAGGUGGCCGUGCUCUACAUGGUGCCCGGCGACAGCGCCGACCAGGUCACCUGGGCCUGGGCAGGCCAGUUCCACGCCAACAAGAUGGGCUACCACGACAGGAUGACCCUGCUCCGCUCCCAGGGCGCCGCCGAGGUGGUCAUGUGGGAUCCUCUCGAGCAGCUCGUGCUCGCCGUCGACUUCGAUGGCAGGGUCACCCGCUCCAUCGGCCCCCUCUCCGGCGGGAUGUACUACUCGGAUUUCAUCCCCUACGUCAACUCAUACGCCGACAUCUACAGCGAGGAGGGGGUGGGAUCUGUGUUCAAGACCAAUGAUGAAGCCGUGACAUACAAAGUUCCACAAGCAUCUGUCAAAGCAGAAAUUGAUUCCAACUAAAUCUGUACCAAGAAAGGAAAGGAUUUGUUGAUGAUGGAGAAGGAAUAGAAGCUUCCAGAUGUGUGCAGCAUAAGGGAGAGCUAUAUAGAUAUCAUUCUUUGGAUGGCAGUUUUUGGCUGCUUUGCUGCAUAAGCAUUCUCAUGCAGUUUCUCUAGUAAUGCAAAACUAUGCUACGAUCUUGUUUCUUUUUUCUUUUUUCCAAGGGACGAAACUAUGUUCUCUUAUUGCUACUAGUAGGUGUUUUUGUCUGCCAUGUACAUACGUAGUUGGUUAGAUGCAGACUGCCCCCGUCGAGUUCUUAAUUGCUGAAUUCGAUCAUCUGGUGUCCGUGUGAUACCAUGUUAGCAAAUUUCUGGAUGCUUUCUUGAAUGUUUACCCUCGUUCUUGCAUGGCCUCACAUUAUAAUUUCAGAUCAUGUUCGUGCGUGUUGUUUGGA